rnacentral:rRNA from 1 species
UUGGUCAUUUAGAGGAAGUAAAAGUCGUAACAAGGUUUCCGUAGGUGAACCUGAGGAAGGAUCAUUACUGAGGUUACCGGGGGUGAGUUGCGGGUGGCUAGUUGCUGGCGCCUCCACGGCGCAUGUGCACGGUCCUCAAUUCUCAUCUUCGUUCCUUCUAUCAACCCCUGUGCACUUUAAUGGGAUUAGAGCGAAGCGCGUCGUCUUAGGGAUUUAACCUAGUAGUUGUGGGUCCGCCCGCGGCAAAAGGUUAAUCUUUGAUCGGCGGCUCGUGGUACCUCGAAGUCUCCGUUACUCCAAACUACUAUACAUGUCUUGUCAGAAUGUCUAGUCCUUCAUUGGACGCUAAAUGAAAUACAACUUUCAACAACGGAUCUCUUGGCUCUCGCAUCGAUGAAGAACGCAGCGAAAUGCGAUAAGUAAUGUGAAUUGCAGAAUUCAGUGAAUCAUCGAAUCUUUGAACGCACCUUGCGCCCUUUGGUAUUCCGAAGGGCACGCCUGUUUGAGUGUCAUGUUCAUCUCAAUCCAUCAGCUUUGCGGCUGACUUGGAUUGGAUUUGGGACUCUGCCGGCCCCUUCCCUGGGUCGGCUCUCCUUGAAUGCAUGAGUGAGCAUCUGGCUCGCGUCGCUGGUGUGAUAGUCUUUCAUCAUUGGCGAUGCUUGCCUAACGGGCUUGCUUUCGAACCGUCUUCUCAACGGAGACAAACUUCAUUGACAUAUUUGACCUCAAAUCAGGUGGGACUACCCGCUGAACUUAAGCAUAUCAAUAAG